rnacentral:rRNA from 1 species
CCCUUAGAUGUUCUGGGCCGCACGCGCGCUACACUGACGAAUGCAACGAGCUUAUAACCUUGGCCGAAAGGUCUGGGUAAUCUCCAAAUUUCGUCGUGAUGGGGAUAGAUUAUUGCAAUUAUUAAUCUUCAACGAGGAAUGCCUAGUAAGCGCAAGUCAUCAGCUUGCGUUGAUUACGUCCCUGCCCUUUGUACACACCGCCCGUCGCUCCUACCGAUUGAAUGGUCCGGUGAAGCGUUCGGACCGUGGCCUUUGGACGGUUCGCCGUCUGUUGGCUGCGGGAAGUUCGUUAAACCUUAUCAUUUAGAGGAAUGAGAAGUCGUAACA